rnacentral:miRNA from 1 species
CCCUGGAGUGACGGGGGUG